rnacentral:rRNA from 1 species
UACGUAGGUGGCAAGCGUUGUCCGGAUUUACUGGGCGUAAAGAGCGCGCAGGCGGUCGUUCAAGUCGCGUGUGAAAGCCCCCGGCUCAACUGGGGAGGGUCACGCGAUACUGAUCGACUCGAAGGCAGGAGAGGGUAGUGGAAUUCCCGGUGUAGUGGUGAAAUGCGUAGAUAUCGGGAGGAACACCAGUGGCGAAGGCGACUACCUGGCCUGUUCUUGACGCUGAGACACGAAAGCGUGGGGAUCAAACAGG